AAUAGACCUUUCCCCUUAUAACCAAAAUUUUGAUCUAGGCAAGUCUAGAAAUAUAUUUUAUCACAGCUUGAAAGAGCAUCACAAAAUUAGUAAUAUUCCAAAGUUUCGUUGCGAAAUGUUGUAAAAUGAGGAAAAUAGAGCCUUGCGAAGCUUGCAAUUUUCAGUCAUUUUGCAUUACAAACGGGAAAUUGCAGCCCCAACACCCGAAUCGUAUGUCAAUUUCCCGUUUGUAAUACAAAAUGACUGAAAAACGGCAAACUUCGCAAGGCUAUAUUAUCCGCAUUUUUCAAGAUUUUGCAACAAAACUUUGGAAUAUUACUAAUUUUGUGAUGCUCUUUCAAGCUGUGAUGAAAUUUUUGUCUAGAUCGAAAUUUUAGUUAUAAGGGGAAAGGUCCAUUCA
rnacentral:lncRNA from 1 species